rnacentral:rRNA from 1 species
GACGUACGCUGGCGGCGUGCCUAAUACAUGCAAGUUGAGCGAUGAAGAUUGGUGCUUGCACCAAUUUGAAGAGCAGCGAACGGGUGAGUAACGCGUGGGGAAUCUGCCUUUGAGCGGGGGACAACAUUUGGAAACGAAUGCUAAUACCGCAUAAUAACUUUAAACAUAAGUUUUAAGUUUGAAAGAUGCAAUUGCAUCACUCAAAGAUGAUCCCGCGUUGUAUUAGCUAGUUGGUGAGGUAAAGGCUUACCAAGGCGAUGAUACAUAGCCGACCUGAGAGGGGGAUCGGCCCAAUUGGGAAUGAGACACGGCUCAAACUCCUACGGGAGGCAGCAGUAGGGAAUCUUCGGCAAUGGACGAAAGUCUGACCGAGCAACGCCGCGUGAGUGAAGAAGGUUUUCGGAUCGUAAAACUCUGUUGGUAGAGAAGAACGUUGGUGAGAGUGGAAAGCUCAUCAAGUGACGGUAACUACCCAGAAAGGGACGGCUAACUACGUG